GUAGUCAUAUGCUUGUCUCAAAGAUUAAGCCAUGCAUGUCUAAGUAUAAGCAAUUAUACAGCGAAACUGCGAAUGGCUCAUUAUAUAAGUUAUCGUUUAUUUGAUAGUACCUUACUACUUGGAUAACCGUGGUAAUUCUAGAGCUAAUACAUGCUAAAAAUCCCGACUUCGGAAGGGAUGUAUUUAUUAGAUUAAAAACCAAUGCCCUUCGGGGCUCACUGGUGAUUCAUGAUAACUCCUCGAAUCGCAUGGCCUUGCGCCGGCGAUGGUUCAUUCAAAUUUCUUCCCUAUCAACUUUCGAUGUUUGGGUAUUGGCCAAACAUGGUUGCAACGGGUAACGGGGAAUGGGGCGGGGGCGGCGGGCCGGGCGCGGGGCGCGGCGGGCG
rnacentral:rRNA from 1 species